rnacentral:sRNA from 1 species
GCAGGAGGUUCGACUCGAGCGAAGCGAGAGAACGUUGCGUCAGCAACGGCCCGCAGGGCGAGCCACGAAGUGGUGAGUCAUCCUCUAUCACCGACCA